GUAAAGUCAGCUAAAAAAGCUCUUGGGCCCAUACCCCAAAAAUGUUGGUUAAACCCCUUCCUUUACUA
rnacentral:tRNA from 1 species